GGGCGGUUAGCUCAGCUGGCUAGAGCGCUACGUUGACAUCGUAGAGGUCGUAGGUUCAAGUCCUAUACCGCCCA
rnacentral:tRNA from 1 species